ACUCGUGGAAGGACUGCCAUCGACAAAGAGUGGAGGAAGGGUGGGGAUGACGUCAAGUCAUCAGUGGCCCUUAUGUCCAGGGCGACACACGUGCUACAAUGGCCGGCACAACGGGAAGCGAGUUCGCGAGGACGAGCGGAUCCCUCAAAGCCGGUCGCAGUUCGGAUUGAAGUCUGCAACUCGACUUCAUGAAGCUGGAAUCGCUAGUAAUCGUGGAUCAGCCAAGCCGCGGUGAAUACGUUCCCGGGCCUU
rnacentral:rRNA from 1 species